UACGAAGGGUGCAAGCGUUAAUCGGAAUUACUGGGCGUAAAGCGUGCGUAGGCGGUUAUUUAAGUCUGUUGUGAAAUCCCCGGGCUCAACCUGGGAAUGGCAAUGGAUACUGGCAAGCUAGAGUGCGGUAGAGGGUAGUGGAAUUCCCGGUGUAGCGGUGAAAUGCGUAGAGAUCGGGAGGAACACCAGUGGCGAAGGCGGCUACCUGGACCAGCACUGACACUGAGGCACGAAAGCGUGGGGAGCAAACAGG
rnacentral:rRNA from 1 species